rnacentral:rRNA from 1 species
UACGUAGGGUGCGAGCGUUUAAUCGGAAUUACUGGGCGUAAAGCGUGCGCAGGCGGUCUGUUAAGACCGAUGUGAAAUCCCCCGGGCUUAACCUGGGAACUGCAUUGGUGACUGGCAGGCUUUGAGUGUGGCAGAGGGGGGUAGAAUUCCACGUGUAGCAGUGAAAUGCGUAGAGAUGUGGAGGAAUACCGAUGGCGAAGGCAAUCCCCUGGGCCUGUACUGACGCUCAUGCACGAAAAGCGUGGGGGAGCAAACAGG